CAACGCUGGCGGCGUGCCUAAUACAUGCAAGUCGAGCGAACAGAGAAGGAGCUUGCUCCUUCGACGUUAGCGGCGGACGGGUGAGUAACACGUGGGCAACCUACCUUAUAGUUUGGGAUAACUCCGGGAAACCGGGGCUAAUACCGAAUAAUCUGUUUCACCUCAUGGUGAAACACUGAAAGACGGUUUCGGCUGUCGCUAUAGGAUGGGCCCGCGGCGCAUUAGCUAGUUGGUGAGGUAACGGCUCACCAAGGCGACGAUGCGUAGCCGACCUGAGAGGGUGAUCGGCCACACUGGGACUGAGACACGGCCCAGACUCCUACGGGAGG
rnacentral:rRNA from 1 species